GGACAUGACAAACACUUCUUCCAUGCCAUCGAUGGCGGGGUGGACGACGCCUGAUCCAUGCUCUGAGAUCUCUAUCCAGUGGCACAACUGCUUCAAUUUUUUUAAAUCAUGGAAGGUAGCAUCAUGGAGGUGUAGUUCGUAGUCAUGUAAGCUAGCUUCUCGUGCGUCUCUUUCCAAGAAUCCAUCCACCAAGUUGGCUGCUAGAUAGUUUGCCGGAUAGUACUAGUCUAAUCUUGUUUUUCUAUGUCUAAGUAUGAUGUCUCUAGCCAUCUAAUUGAUUCUUGAUUAUUUUCAUCCAUCAAGAUUCCCCAAGGCAUCAAACUAAUCACAAAAUGUCUCUUUUGAAGUCGUGAACUUUCUCUUGAAAUCCUUUUUAAUAAAACAAUUAUGCAUAAAUAGUGUAAUAACUAGUUUCAAGUAGGAUACUUGAGUAUGUAAAAU
rnacentral:lncRNA from 1 species